rnacentral:rRNA from 1 species
GAUGAACGCUGGCGGCGUGCCUAAUACAUGCAAGUCGAGCGAACAGACGAGGAGCUUGCUCCUCUGACGUUAGCGGCGGACGGGUGAGUAACACGUGGAUAACCUACCUAUAAGACUGGGAUAACUUCGGGAAACCGGAGCUAAUACCGGAUAAUAUAUUGAACCGCAUGGUUCAAUAGUGAAAGACGGUUUUGCUGUCACUUAUAGAUGGAUCCGCGCCGCAUUAGCUAGUUGGUAAGGUAACGGCUUACCAAGGCGACGAUGCGUAGCCGACCUGAGAGGGUGAUCGGACACACGGGAACUGAGACACGGUACAGACUCCUACGGGAGGCAGCAGUAGGGAAUCUUCCGCAAUGGGCGAAAGCCUGACGGAGCAACGCCGCGUGAGUGAUGAAGGUCUUCGGAUCGUAAAACUCUGUUAUUAGGGAAGAACAAAUGUGUAAGUAACUAUGCACGUCUUGACGGUACCUAAUCAGAAAGCCACGGCUAACUACGUG